UAAAAUGGACAAUUGAGAAGCAUUAAUAGCCUCUUCAACAAGGAGAUAAUGCAGGAACGAAGAACUCAUGUCAAGCAUUGAGAGCAUACAAAGUCAAAUAUUUCCGGUGAUUAGUUGCAUCCUCUGUUCGGUGAUUCGGGUGAAUGUUUUGACCAGCUGGACGAUGUGAACGCAAGAUAAAUAGAACAGACAUAAAGUACAGCCCAGUGAAAGGAACAAGUUCAUCGCAAGAAGAAGAAUUUUAAUGCUACCACUGUCCAGAACUACUAAGUCUGCUGUAGCCAUGAUGUGAUCAUAUGAGUGCUUCACCGGUCUGGACAAUGCUCGAAAGUCCCCCAAAAAGGCCUAUUUCCAUAAACUACGACUCGGGUUACAUCGACAACAGCCAAGGACACCCCUUUUUGAUUCGAAUGGACACAUCUCUACGACCCGACUAAACCUCUGCAGAACAAGACUUUUUAACUGUAAAGUAUUCUCAUUUCAAAAAACCUAUAAACUAUAAAAGUACUUUUUUGUUAUAUGAUCAAAUACCAGUAUAUUACAAUGUCUGUCUGUAAGCUAGAAUCUUAGAAAAUCACAUGGUUUUGACUUAUUUUAUGAUAUUUAAUGACCUUGCAGAUAUUAACUUUCAUUUUCUUAAGUAAUUUGUUAUAUUUGCAAAUAUUGCAUCAAAUAUUAGACUCCAUGUAACAUAUAUCCUCACACCUCCAAGUUGAUAAGUGUUUACUACUUUUUUUUCCAUUUUCUUUGUUUAAACAUUUAUUGAUAACUUAGUUUUUAUUUGCAGCAAUUUAUGAAAAAUUAAGA